GACGAACGCUGGCGGCGUGCUUAACACAUUCAAGUCGAACGGAAAGGCCCUGCUUUUGUGGGGUGCUCGAGUGGCGAACGGGUGAGUAACACGUGAGUAACCUGCACUUGACUUUGGGAUAACUUCAGGAAACUGGGGCGAAUACCGGAUAGGAGCUCCUGCUGUAUGAUGGGGGUUGGAAAGUUUCGGCGGUUGGGGAUGGACUGGCGGCUUAUGCGCUUGUUGGUGGGGUAGUGGCUUACCAAGGCUUUGACGGGUAGCCGGCCUGAGAGGGUGACCGGCCACAUUGGUACUGAGAUACGGACCAGACGCCUACGGGAGGCAGCAGUGGGGAACAUUGCGCAAUGGGCGGAAGCCUGAGGCAGCAACGCCGCGUGCGGGAUGACGGCCUUCGGGUUGUAAACCGCUUUCGCCUGUGACGAAGCGUGAGUGACGGUAAUGGGUAAAGAAGCACCGGCUAACUACGUG
rnacentral:rRNA from 1 species